UUUUUUGUGUCACGUUUGAACAGAUACCUUUGAGAAGUUUAUGAUUCUCCAAGUUCUCUUUCUCCUACUGUGGCACCUACUGACAAGAUAAAUGUGUAGAGGUUCCUGAGUCUAGGGGCACUGGAACCAGCUGACUGAUCUAUGGAAGUUCCCUUGGUCUACAUUUGUUUAGAAAAGGGAUGAAGAAACUGAGGCCCACAGAAGGUGGGUGAUACCUGCAAAAUCACAAGCUUUCAUGGUGAAAGAAGAGGGCAAAACUCAACCCGUCUCUUCAGACUUGGGAAGAAUAUGAAAGGACCAGGAGGGACACCUUUCCUAAUAACCUAGCUGAUGGUUCACUUAUUGUAAGCACAUUCUCAAACAAGAGGCUGGAAAGCUAAAAAAUGACAUUCCCAGACUCCAUUGGAAUUAGAUUUCCAGAGGUGAUUUAUGUUCCACACAUCAGAUGUAUAUGCUCAAGAUUUGUUUAACAGGGAAGGAGGCAGUGGUGUGUGGGUCCCUUUUACUCAUGUGAAUCUUACAGGUUGUCUCACUAAGCCCAAAUUUGUCUAACUGGCCUUAUUUCCCUGGAGUAUACCCUGGAAGUCUCCAUUCAAGCCAAUUUAAGUUACUUUAAAUUAGGAAAGGCAGAAAACAAAAGCCCAAACCUUUGUAAAGGAGGAGGAUUUGCUACAUUGUUCUCAAUUCAUCACAGAAGAGGAUGAAACUGAGUGAUUAC
rnacentral:antisense_RNA from 1 species